AAGUUGAUUGUUACUUUGAAAUUAUUAGUUUUUAUAAGACACAAACAAUAGGUUCGGUUCCCAGUUGUGUAAGAGAGGGUUAAGUGUGAGGGAGAACAAACAAAAAGGGAAGAGUUGAAAGUGUGGAGCGCUUAGAGUCUUUUUAGUUGAAAUUUAUUCCCUUUGCAAACGCAAACGUUUUCAAACCGUUUCGAGAGUAAUAAGCUCUCUCUCGAUAUAGGAAUAAUAAAAAGUAUAUUUUCCUUCCAGAUACACUUUCGACAAAAUGAAAACAAGUCCAUCUGGUGCUAAGCCACAUACUUCCCACAAUGUCAUUGAAUUCAUUUUUCUUCUAAUACUCAUUUUAUUAUGUGUGACUUUCCAUACUUCUGAAGCUAAGCCUGGACUCUGCUCAGAUAUUUGCAACAAACUAUGUCAGGGUGACUUCUGCCGGUCAAUAUGCACUUUUUACUGUUAAACUGUUUUUACUGUCUACUCUAAUUAAUAAUAAUCACGGAUGAGAAAGAUGUUAAAUCAGAAGCUAUGUCAGAAAAGAAGAGAUUUUUAAGAUAAAAAAUCCAGAUGCAGUGCAUUUACCAUUAUGUUUUUAAUUUUUUUCAUUGUUAAAUAAUCAACAACAUGUGACUAAUUUAUUUGUUUGUUUCAUUUU